rnacentral:rRNA from 1 species
AGGCCCUGCUUUUGUGGGGUGCUCGAGUGGCGAACGGGUGAGUAACACGUGAGUAACCUGCCCUUGACUUUGGGAUAACUUCAGGAAACUGGGGCUAAUACCGGAUAGGAGCUCCUGCUGCAUGGUGGGGUUGGAAAGUUUCGGCGGUUGGGGAUGGACUCGCGGCUUAUCAGCUUGUUGGUGGGGUAGUGGCUUACCAAGGCUUUGACGGGUAGCCGGCCUGAGAGGGUGGACGGUCACACUGGGACUGAGACACGGCCCAGACUCCUACGGGAGGCAGCAGUGGGGAAUAUUGCACAAUGGGCGCAAGCCUGAUGCAGCGACGCCGCGUGAGGGAUGGAGGCCUUCGGGUUGUGAACCUCUUUCGCCAGUGAAGCAGGCCUGUCCCUUGUGGGUGGGUUGACGGUAGCUGGAUAAGAAGCGCCGGCUAACUACGUGCCAGCAGCCGCGGUAAUACGUAGGGCGCGAGCGUUGUCCGGAAUUAUUGG